rnacentral:rRNA from 1 species
AUUGGCAAGUCUGGUGCCAGCAGCCGCGGUGAUUCCAGCUCCAAUAGCGUAUAUUUAAGUUGUUGCAGUUAAAAAGCUCGUAGUUGAAUUUCGGGGUCAGUAGAUUGGUCGUGCCACUGGUAUGUACUGGUCUUACUGGCUCCUCCUUCCUGAUGAACCGUAAUGCCAUUAAUUUGGUGUUGCGGGGAGACUGGACUGUUACUUUGAAAAAAUUAGAGUGUUUAAAGCAGGCUAACGUUUGAAUACAUUAGCAUGGAAUAAUGAAAUAGGACGUUCGAUCUUAUUUUGUUGGUUUCUAAGAUUGACGUAAUGAUUAAUAGGGAUAGUUGGGGGCAUUAGUAUUCAAUUGUCAGAGGUGAAAUUCUUGGAUUUAUUGAAGACUAACUACUGCGAAAGCAUUUGCCAAGGAUGUUUUCAUUAAUCAAGAACGAAAGUUAGGGGAUCGAAGACGAUCAGAUACCGUCGUAGUCUUAACCAUAAACUAUGCCGACUAGGGAUCGGAUGAUGUUAAUUUUUUAAUGACUCAUUCGGCGCCUUACGGGAAACAAU